UGUGCUGCUCAGCCCAGGAGAAGGAGAGAGUGAAAGUGGGAGCAGGAGGCACAAAAAGGGGAGAAUGGCAAAUAGUUAGAGGAAAAGGAACAUGAUGUGAAAGUAAAGGACGAGAAGACAGCUCUGGAUAACAUACGCUGAAGGGGAGGAGGUGGAAAAGCGAGGAAAGCGACAAGGAAUUAGGAGUGAAGAUGGGAUGAUGAAAAACUCACCUCUGGCCUGUGGGGUUGUAGAUCUCGUUGCUCUGGCAACCGCUUAUCGUGAUGGGGUCGAACGACUGGAAGGAGCGCAGUCCCACCCCGGAGAUGGCCACCAGGCGGGAGGCGAACAUGACCAGGAUGGCCUUGGUGUGGUAGAAGGCCACCGACAGGUCGUGGCUCACUGGGAUCACCAGAGGGUUGGUGCGGCAGCUGAGGCGCCACUCGCCUGUGGAGGGGACAUCAGGGAUGCGGAAAGGACGACGAGAGAAUACAAAAAUGUGUUGAAAUUGAAGCAGAGAAUCAAAGGGAUAGGUGGUCCAUGUUAACUGAAGCUUAGAAUUGAAUUCAGCAGAGCUGUGUAGGCUACAAGAAGAAGCGAAGAUGCUGAGUGAUAUAGGGUUUUAAUGAAAGGAUGGAUAUGAGGGGCAUGCGCCAUAUACAAGAAGCAGUCUCACCUAGACUGUGGAUGCCUUCCUUGGUGUCCACCAGCUGAACAGUGAUGUUACACUGCGUCUGGUCGAGGUAACCAGUCCCAUCAGCAGCCAGAUGUAUAAUCACUGCGGCCGCCACCAUGGGAUGAGAAAAGUGGGCCUGAGUGAAGAAAAACAGGAAAUAUAAAAGUAUAGGUAUAAACUUUCAAUAACUUGACGGUAACUGUAUGCUGUAUCUUAGUGUUAGAAGUACUUUAAUGUUUUCCUAUUUAAAUGAUGUUGUUAUGUACUGUAUAUGGAGACAGAGAGAGAUAUAUUCCCUUUUUCAAUAUAUCACUCACCUUUCUAAAAUGGCCUCAAUAUUAGGUGACAUAAGUUAAGUAUAGUAUUCACCUGAGUGUUAUUUUUCAAUUGAUUGAACUUUGCACCAAAAAAUGCGCAAUUCUUUUCAGACAUGUCUCACCUUUAGCCAGUAGUUAGGAUAUCCCCAUGUUGACUUAUGAGCCUCGCGGCAGGGGAACCACGCAUACUGGGACACUCCAUCUGACAGAUCGAACACUUUGGACUGACAUGUCUAGAGAAACAUGAGGAAAAAGGGCAAUGGGUAAUAUUUAAUAAAUCAUCACCUUUUUCAAUUUUAAGUUUCAGAGAUGCUGUUGUUCAAAAAAAGGUAUUAUAAGAUGAACAGAUUAGGCUAUUAGCGUCUUUACUUUUUUUAAAAGCUAAGUGAUGGAACUGGUUGCUGUUGUUAGAGCCUCCUCUCUCAUUACGGGAAACCACAACUCAAACUUAACAUUAAAAAAAAAGUACGUCCUGGAGAUAGCAUGCUAAAACUAGAUUAAAAUAAGCAUCGACCGAGUAGCAAACUAACUUGUGGUUACCGUCUUGGCCUCAAAUGCUGUGACCCCUGUUAUUCCACAGCUGUCAGCGGUUUGGCCUGAACUAUUGCUGACGUGCUUUUUGUGAGGUACUGUUUGUUUCUUGUCAACAAACCCGGCAACCUGUCAGAUGCCUCAAGCCCCUUAUCCCUCCACUUGGUAAAACAAUAAAGACGUUAUGACCGUUAUGUUAGAAGUACCAGUAAAUGUAAUCUUACAAAAAGGUUGAUAUUGAUUAUUGCUGCUUGGAAAUAUUGCAAGGUAAGCUCAGUUUUGGUGAUUGGUGCAUUUUAAUAUUCACUUUACCACUCUAAGAAAAACUAAAAAGGUAGACACAUAGCAAAAAUACUAUUGAGCAAUACAUAACAAUGGCAAAGGGGAGAGAGGGCACAAACCCAAGGACGCCGCGUUUCCCCCGCUGUCCUGAG
ensembl:lncRNA